rnacentral:rRNA from 1 species
GGCCUACCAUGGUGGUAACGGGUAACGGGGUGUUAGGGCAUGACACCGGAGAGGGAGCCUGAGAAACGGCUACCACAUCCAAGGAUGGCAGCAGGCGCGCAAAUUACCCAAUCCCGACACGGGGAGGUAGUGACAAUAAAUAACAAUACGGGGUUCUUUAGGAUCUCGUAAUUGGAAUGAGUACAAUUUAAAUCUCUUAACGAGGAACAAUUGGAGGGCAAGUCUGGUGCCAGCAGCCGCGGUAAUUCCAGCUCCAAUAGCGUAUAUUAAAGUUGUUGCAGUUAAAAAGCUCGUAGUUGAAUUUCGGGGUUAGUAGGUUGGUCAUGCCUCUGGUAUGUACUGGUCUCACUGAUUCCUCCUUCCUGAUGAACCUUAAUGCCAUUUAUUUGGUGUUUUGGGGAAUUUGGACUGUUACUUUGAAAAAAUUAGAGUGUUUAAAGCAAGCUAACGCUUGAAUACAUUAGCAUGGAAUAAUGAAAUAGGACGUUCGAUCCUAUUUUGUUGGUUUCUAGGAUUGACGUAAUGAUUAAUAGGGAUAGUUGGGGGCAUUAGUAUUCAAUUGUCAGAGGUGAAAUUCUUGGAUUUAUUGAAGACUAACUACUGCGAAAGCAUUUGCCAAGGAUGUUUUCAUUAAUCAAGAACGAAAGUUAGGGGAUCGAAGACGAUCAGAUACCGUCGUAGUCUUAACCAUAAACUAUGCCGACUAGGGAUCGGAUGAUGUUAAUUUUUUAAUGACUCAUUCGGCGCCUUACG